CUCUGGUCUGAUUUCUCCAAGAAGGUUGCUUCUGAAGCCAACUGAUGGGAAUGUUUAUGAAGAGAAGGACUAUAUGCUCACCAAGAGGGCAAGCACUGAGUUGGCAAGGCAAGAAAGUUGGGCUCCAGAGGUCACUGGAAGGGGCCUGGAGGUCACUGAAUCCAUUUCCCCAAGACAUGUAAACCUGCUCUGUCGAUACGCAGAAGCUAGCUUUGGAAAGCAUUAACCUGUACCCAGCUCCCUCACUGCACACACCAGCCUUCAUGGGAAUGUGCUGUUGUGCACUUGACAUCUUCUACA
rnacentral:lncRNA from 1 species